CAGAGGAGCCAAGCGUUGUCCGGAUUGACUGGGCGUAAAGCGCACGCAGGCGGCACCGCGCGUGGGGUGUGAAAUCUGGCCGCUUAACGGCCAGGCGCCAUCCCAUACGGCGGAGCUAGAGUGAUGCAGAGGUCGAUGGAAUUGCCGGUGUAGUGGUGAAAUGCGUAGAGAUCGGCAGGAACACCCAGGGGGAAACCAGUCGACUGGGCAUCUACUGACGCUGAGGUGCGAGAGCGUGGGGGAGCGAACCGGAUUAGAUACCCGGGUAGUCCACGCCGUAAACGAUGGCCACUCGGCCUUUGGUGGCGGAACCUCCGUCGCUGGGGGCCUUAGCUAACGCGGGAAGUGGCCCGCCUGGGAACUACGAGCGCAAGCUUA
rnacentral:rRNA from 1 species